CUAGAGGAUGCCAAAAGACGGAUGUGGGAGGCAUCGUGCUCACGGGCCCUCGUCCUGGUGGGGGACUUCAACCAUCCAGACAUCUGUUGGAAAGACCACAUGGCGAGCUGCAAGAGGUCCAGAAGGCUCGUGGAAUCCAUUGAUGACAACUUUCUGGUCCAGGUAGUGGACAGACCAACCAGAGGUGAAGCGUUGCUGGACCUGCUGCUCACCAAUGCGGAAGAGAUCAUCAAAGAUGUCAACGUUGGAGGCAGCCUGGGCUGCAGCGACCAUGCCCUGGUUGAGUUUGUGAUCUCGAGGGAUGUGGGCCUGGCAAAGGGUGGGGUCAGGACCCUGAACUUUGGAAGAGCGAACUUUAAGCUGUUCAAUGGAUUGUUGGCCAAGAUCCCCUGGGAUGCUGUCCUUAAAGAUAAAGAUGUUGAGGAGAGCUGGCUACUCUUUGAGGAUGCCCUCCUGAAAGCACAAGAGGUCUCCAUCCCUCUGAAUAGGAAGGUGGGCAGACGAGAUAGGAAACCGGCAUGGCUCGGCAAGGACCUGCUGGGCACACUGAGGGCGAAGAAAGGUGCAUACAAGCUCUGGAAACAAGGGUGUGUCACCUGGGAAGAGUACAG
ensembl:lncRNA